rnacentral:rRNA from 1 species
UAUUCCCCCAGUAGCGGCGAGCGAACGGGGAGCAGCCCAGAGCCUGAAUCAGUGUGUGUGUUAGUGGAAGCGUCUGGAAAGGCGUGCGAUACAGGGUGACAGCCCCGUACACAAAAAUGCACAUAUUGUGAGCUCGAUGAGUAGGGCGGGACACGUGGUAUCCUGUCUGAAUAUGGGGGGACCAUCCUCCAAGGCUAAAUACUCCUGACUGACCGAUAGUGAACCAGUACCGUGAGGGAAAGGCGAAAAGAAC